rnacentral:rRNA from 1 species
UGCGUAGGCGGGGCAAUUAGUCAGUGGUGAAAUCCUGCGGCUUAACCGUAGAACUGCCAUUGAUACUGUUGCCCUUGAGUAUAGUUGAGGUGGGCGGAAUGUGUAAUGUAGCGGUGAAAUGCAUAGAGAUUACACAGAACACCAAUUGCGAAGGCAGCUCACUAAGCUAUAACUGACGCUGAGGCACGAAAGCGUGGGGAGCGAACAGGAUUAGAUACCCCGGUAGUCC